rnacentral:rRNA from 1 species
AUGACGAAGGGGGAUGCGGGACAGAUCAGACGGUCCCGCACGUCCAGAUCGAGCGGCUCGGGUUGGACCGGCCGAAACUCGCGCUGGUGCGCCGGCGCAGAGACUGAGGAAACACUCUCUGGCUCCAGGGGAGCGGUGGCAAGAGACCGUAAAUGGAAUUUUAUUUCGGCAACAACUUGGGUUCUGCCCCAUGUUCGCAGUGCAGAAUCAGCAGAGUUGAGUGCUAUUCGGAAUGGCCUGUACCUAGCAGGGAGAAUUGGACGCAGGAAGGUAUUCGUCGAAUCAGAUAGCAUAUUUGCGGUGGAGGCUGUUACACGAGCAAAUGAUUAUAUGGGUCCUGAUGUGGCAGUAAUAUCAGAAUGUAUUCAACUCGCUAUGGAUUUUGCCAGUAUUGACUAA